GAUGAACGCUGGCGGCGUGCUUAACACAUGCAAGUCGAACGGUGAAGCCAAGCUUGCUUGGUGGAUCAGUGGCGAACGGGUGAGUAACACGUGAGCAACCUGCCCUGGACUCUGGGAGAAGCGCUGGAAACGGCGUCUAAUACUGGAUAUGAGACUUCAUCGCAUGGUGGGGGUGGGAAAGAGUUUUUGGUCUGGGAUGGGUUCGCGGCCUAUCAGCUUGUUGGUGAGGUAAUGGCUCCCCAAGGCGUCGACGGGUAGCCGGCCUGAGAGGGUGACCGGCCACACUGGGACUGAGACACGGCCCAGACUCCUACGGGAGGCAGCAGUGGGGAAUAUUGCACAAUGGGCGAAAGCCUGAUGCAGCAACGCCGCGUGAGGGAUGACGGCCUUCGGGUUGUAAACCUCUUUUAGCAGGGAAGAAGCGAAAGUGACGGUACCUGCAGAAAAAGCGCCGGCUAACUACGUGCCAGCAGCCGCGGUAA
rnacentral:rRNA from 1 species